GAGGCAGCAGCGGGUAGCGGCUGAGGACUGACGGAGCGAGUGGGUGGAUUAGCGAGACAGCCCACUGGACCCUCAUUCUACCCGCGCCACGGUCCCCUCCUCAACCUGCUCGCCUCCUGUCCUGUCCUGCCCGCCCUGUCCACCGAACACGCGUGCACUCUGAAACUACCUUUGUGUCCCUCCUCAACGCGGCUCUCCUGACUGACUCCACCCCACGGAACAGUUACAUAAAGCCUAUUACUCGGUCUUUGCACAGUGAGGAUAAGCCUAGACCGGUAAAAUAGCUCCCCCGUGUGUCACUCAACUAUCUAACACUGGAACACACAAAAGAAGUGAAGAUAAAGUGAAAGAGGUGAUUAAAGUGUAAGAAAAUAGUUUGUGUGGCGUUAUGAAUGUAGUUUUAUAAUACGAGACCACGGAAAAGUGAAGGGAAACUUUAUAAUUUGGUGUGCCAGUGAGUAUAGUGAAAAUAUAAACAUAUAUACAGUGAAGAGAAAAGAUAAGAAAAACAAAGUAGUCUUAUACUUUACUACAUAAGCUUGUAACAGAAAUAUGACUCAUUCUUACUCUAGUGCGCGUUUAGAAGUAUCAAAAUAAUGUGAAAAAAAGGAGAAAGGUGAAGCAAAGGUGAACAGAAAACGUGGUGAUGGUGGAGACCUUGGUUGUCCUGCUCGUAACGCUACAGUAGCAACGGACGAAGCAUAAAAAACAACAGCAAAAAGCAAAAACAGGAGGUCCAUUUUCGCGCCUCGUCCAAGGGUAAUGAAUUUAUCCUGUUGGUGUCGUAGUGGCGUCGGUGGAGGUAGUAGUAUUAGUAGUAGUGGUGGUGGUGGUAGUGGUAGUGUAUACCCAUCAACCAUCUCUCGUGUCUAACUGAUAUGAAGUUUAACUCACGCUGAUAAGAAAGAAUUUAUACUAGGAAACUACGCUGUGCUGUGACACCGCAUGUUUGCCGUAUUAACUGUGAGUGUGUGUGAGUGUUUGUGUAACUGUGUCGGAGAAAAAGACUGACACAAGAGAGGGAGAGAGAGAAAAAAAAUAAAGCACUUCGUUUAGCUUUGUGUCGGUGUGCUGUGACUGCGUGUGCGUGUGUAACGGCAUUGAAGGGAAAAAAAGAGGAAAAAAGAAGAGUAAGAGAGAAGGAAGAGAGAAAAAAUUGAUACUAAGUGCUCUCUCAUCAUCCGGUUGGCAUUUUUCUGUGUGUGUGUGUGAGUGUGCGCGCGAAGUGACAUUGAGAGGACGAAAAGAGAAAGAUAGAAAAGAGUACAAGGCAGAAAAGGGAGAAAAAGCUACACAACAGAAAAUAUAGGAGGACAAAAAGAGAGAUAAAGAUAAGGCGGGAAAGUGAGAAAAAGUUAUACAACUGUUAAAAUAGGAGGACGAACAGAGAUAGAUAAAUAAGAGAACAAGGCAGAAAAGGGAGAAAAAGCUACACAACAGAAAAUAUAGGAGGACAAAAAGAGAGAUAAAGAUAAGGCAGAAAAAGGGAGAAAAAGUUACACAACGGUUAAAAUAGGACGAAAAGAGAAAGAGAAAUAAGAGAACAAGGCAGAAAAGGGAGAAAAAGCUACACAUAGAAAAAUACAGGACAAAAAGAGAGAUAAAGAUAAGGCGGAAAAAGGGAGAAAAAGUUACACAACGGUUGAAAUAGGACGACGAAAAGAGAAAUAAAGAAAACAAGGCAGAAAAAGAGAAAAAAAAGGUAUAAGAAAAAAAUAGGGUUGAUCAAGUGCAGUGAGGGUGAAAAUCAUGUGGUGAUGGUGGACCUGCCAGCAUCUGAGGACACAGGAUCUUACAAUAACGACGUAAAAAGAAGCAAAACCAGUUACGCCCGUCGGCUCGAAUUGCAAGUGUGUGGCGGCGGCGGCGGUGGCGGUGCUGGCCGUGGUGAAAUGACGAAAGGACGUGACAUGGCGAGGCGGCGCGUCGCCAGCCUGCCCGUGGCGGUGGUGGCGAUGGCGAUGGUGUGUGUCCCCGCCGCCGCCACCACCACUCUUUCGCCGUCAGAAAACGUGGACGACCCCUUGAUGGUGGGGACCUCGAGCCACCACUGCAACUGGACGCGAGCGAUGGGCCCCGUCUGCGUCUACAACACCACCAGUCAGGUGGUGGUGGUGCCGGAGGGGCUGGAGUUCUCUUCGGGUCAGCUGGAGUUGGAGAUUCACGACCCGAGCGUGGUCCAGCUGUACCCCACCUGUGUGUCCUGGAUCCAGGUGUACAACGCCGGCGAGAUCAACACGCUUCCUGCAGAGCGGAACAUGGACUGUCGCACGUGGCUUCGGGUCUACAACUCCAAGGCGGGGCGGAUCGAGUACGGUGUCAAGGACCUCACGCUUCUGAACUCCGAAGUCGAGACCAUCAAACUCUUCGACCAGCGGGACUUCAUGGCCAUCAACUCGAGCAUCCGGGAGAUCGAGGAGCUGGACUGGGGCGGGUACAGGGCCACGGUGCUCAACACUUCCAUCGGGCGGCUGUCUGGGGUGCAGGCGAGGGACAGCUGGUAUGUUCUCGACGGUCGCUUCGGAUCCGUGGCCACCGGCGGGAUUGUCUUCAACGCGAGGGAGAUGUCGGUGAUCAACAGCACCAUCAAACACAUGUCCGCGAAGUCCCUCACCAUCAAGAAAGGCACCGUGACCUUCGCUAACGUCUCCAUCAACUACUUGGAGGCGCUGGCAAUCAUGGUGUCAAGCCCCAUUGCGUACCUCUCCCUCAAUAACAUCACCAUCGGAGCCGCCAACGCCCCUUGCUUCGUCCUCCUCGACCGCGAUAGCGUGUCACUGACCAAUGUCACCGUCCUCGGCAUCCCCAUCAACGAGAGCUCCCCAUUCCUCCACUUCCUCGAGGACUCCGGGGCCGAGAGCAGCGAAUACUUGGUAGCGGUGAGCGAGCAGCGGGAGGAGUGUGUGUCCAACGAGACCUCCCUCUCUUGUGACUUCAUCAAGAACGCGGAGAAAGUGGAGAUCCGGGAGAAGAAGAUUCGGAACGUCAAGCAGGUCGAGGUCCGCAACGCAAACUCCCUUUUGGUCACUUCGAUGCCCUGCAAGACUGAGCUACGACUGAAGAACGUCAACGCCACGCUACCCCACUUCGCGGCAGUGCCAGGAGAGGGCGACAACACCACCACACGCAUCGGCAUCGUCACGGUUACCACCCCCGAUAACACCACCACCUGUAACGUUACGGUCGUCGUCUCGAACUCGUCCCUCAAUGUGGUGUGGGCGAGGCACAUGAAAAGUCUCAACGUGAAGAACUCCUCGAUCAAGAGGAUUCAUGGGGGUCGUCUGGAUGGCUUUGUGCUGGCCGGGUCGACGGUGGAGGAGAUGGACGGGGUGGAGGUUGUGGGUCGAGGCGCCCACUGGAGCAGGUCAAGCUUCCCCGGCAGCAUAUCCGUGACCCUCAAGGCGCCCCUCGAAUCCUCCGCCAUCAAUCUCCUACAUCUGGAAGAAAACUCCUUGAUCAUAGACCAUCCCGGUGAGACGACGACGGUGACGGGGUGGCGGCUGGGCUGGAUGCGGCGGCGCAGCAUUGUGGUGAAGAAUGGGAGUCACGUUGAGCUGAGCCACAUGAUGGCUGAUCGCAUCGUCCAGGAAGCCAUCUACCUGGAGGAAGGCGCCUCAGCCUCCGCCAAGAACUUCCACACUUUGCUGGACUCCAUCAACAUCUUUUCGGUGGCCAGAAGUGACCAGCUGGAUCUCAAGGGCUUCACCGGCAGCAAGAUGUACCACGUCCGGGCUCUGUCACCCACCGCAGACCACCAGAGUAACUACACCGUCAGCGACACCCACAUCUCCGCCUACUGCCGCAGCAUCCCUUAUUACCUACAGAUCUGUGACUUCAGCACCGCCCCACAGGGGAGCGUGACGGUGGAUUUAGCGGACGGACAGGUGAGCAACAGAGUGAUCAUCAAAGGAGCCUCAUCGGUGAAACUCUUCCCUUCAUGCGUCGAGAAGAUAAUCUUGAUGAACGUGAAGGAGGCGAGCACGGUGGAGAGUGAUCGUGAUUGCGGCACGUGGCUUGAGGCGUUCGGGGUGCACCUGACCAAUGUGACCUUUGGGGUACACGACGUGACCCUUAAGUCGUGCACGGUGGACCUCCUGGCGCCGGACCGGAGGCUUCGCGACGUGGACUUGGAAGGAUCGAGUGUGAGCCGCGUGGUGGGUGUGCACUGGGCAGGCUACACGGGGGUCUUCAACAACUCUCGUCUCGGGGAGGUGAGGAGUCUCCGCGCGGACAGCCGGCUCAUGAUGUCCAACUCGACGGUGGAGAAAGUGGUGACAGGAGGGAUGUUCCUCGCGGCGGAGGCCAUCAUCGCCAAGACAACCUUCAAAGAGAUCCAAAGUUACGGCAUCACUGUCAACCAAUCCACGCGCAUGCAAGACGUCAUCAUUGAGAAGCUGGACCGCCGAGGCAUCAACGUUCUCGACGGAUUGCUGCUGCUGGUGAACGUCAGGAUAUUGAAAGCAGAGCAUGAGAGCAUCACAGCAGAGGCCAACGGCGGGAUAUCCUUCCAGAACGUGACGGUAGAGGGGAAGAAGGUGCAUUGGCGGGGGUAUCUCACCACGAACAAUUCUUCUCUCAAACAGUCCGUCAUCUUCCUCAACAAACUCUUCAACGGGACCGAAGCCAACGUGACAGAGAAGCAGAAAACCUCUUCCACCACCACCACCACUACCACGCCCGCAAGACCCUCCCCGCAGGCGUCGUCGAGGGUGCAGUGGCGGACGACGAACUCAGGGGACGAGGCGAUCAGCUCCGAGGCCCCUAACCCCCUGGAAGGCCCCGCCCCCUCGUCGUCCUGGAAGUGGGCGGGGGCGGGCAUCGGGUUCUGCAUGGGGCUGGUGGUCGGUUGUUGCAUCUUCAUCGCCGUCAAAGUCAUCAAGCCCAACAAAGGGAUGCUGACUCUCCCGACGGUGUUCUGGAGGGUUAAGGACGACCACCACGAGCUUCUGCAGGAGGAGCAGGCCGUUGAGGAUCCUCCCGUGACGCGGCGGGACCAAGGCUACACCGCUUUGCCUCGUUCCGAUGUAUAGUAUUUAACUUGUGAUGAAUGUACUGUCACUGAGUGGACCACGUGGAGCAAUUGAAUGCCUGGAACAUCUGUAUGUUGCCUUCGACUUCUUAACUGCAGGUUGUGGCCACAGGCUCUCCAGGGAUACCUUCAGGCAGAAAUUAAGAACAUAUUCCUGGAU